UACAGAGGUCUCAAGCGUUGUUCGGAUUCAUUGGGCGUAAAGGGUGCGUAGGUGGCGCGCUAAGUCAGGUGUGAAAUCUCGGGGCUUAACUCCGAAACUGCAUUUGAUACUGGCGUGCUUGAGGACUGGAGAGGAGACUGGAAUUCAUGGUGUAGCAGUAGAAAUGCGUAGAGAUCAUGAGGAAGACCAGUGGCGAAGGCGGGUCUCUGGACAGUUCUGACACUGAGGCACGAAGGCCAGGGGAGCAAACGGG
rnacentral:rRNA from 1 species